UUAUCUUAGCUGUGGUAAAAAAUGUCUUGCUCAGGCCUCUGUUGCAAAGUCCAAUUUUUCUUUGGCAUUCCCCUACAUUGAUGCAUCAGAGGAGAGAGAAUCAGUGGAAAGCUCCUUGAUUUCAGAAUUUACAAACACGUGUGGGCAUGGUCUUGAGGCCAGCAACAUUGCUUUCUCGCAAUCGUGCUCUGUAGAGGGUGGAAAUUUUGAGAAACUCACUGAUAUCCACUCAGUUCAGAACUAUCUGCUAUCAAGGAUCACUAAGCAAUCCAAGGGGCAGCCAAAUUUGAUUGUUCUCUGCGAUCAAGGUCACCGUACUCUGCGAGGAGCUGAAGAACAAACCUCUGAAGGACAAGUUUUAUCUCAACUACUCAGUUAUGUGGAGAAUCUGGGAGCCAAAUACACUGCACUCUAUGUGUCAGAUCCUUUUAGGUCAAUUCAGUUCCCCUCUCAUAGGGAAGUAGAAAGGUUUCUUGCUGAAGGUACUGGAAAUAAAUCAGUCGAUGGCUGUGAUGGAGUUUGCCGAAUUAAAUCCUCAUUUUUGGAGGGCAUAUUUGUGGCAAUUGUCUUGCUUAUAAUUUUGAUAUCUGGCCUUUGCUGCAUGAUGGGAAU